rnacentral:rRNA from 1 species
GACGAACGCUGGCGGCGUGCUUAACACAUGCAAGUCGAACGAUGAAGCUGGAGCUUGCUCCGGUGGAUUAGUGGCGAACGGGUGAGUAACACGUGAGCAAUCUGCCCUUCACUCUGGGAUAACUGCGGGAAACUGUAGCUAAUACCGGAUACGAGACCUUGGGGCAACCCAGGGUCUGGAAAGAAUUUCGGUGAAGGAUGAGCCCGAGGCCUAUCAGCGCGUUGGUGAGGUAAUGGAUCACCAAGGCGACGACGGGUAGCCGGCCUGAGAGGGUGACCGGCCACGCUGGGACUGAGACACGGCCCAGACUCCUACGGGAGGCAGCAGUGGGGAAUAUUGCACAAUGGGCGAAAGCCUGAUGCAGCAACGCCGCGUGGGGGAUGAAGGCCUUCGGGUUGUAAACCUCUUUUAGUAGGGAAGAAGCGCAAGUGACGGUACCUACAGAAAAAGCACCGGCUAACUACGUGCCAGCCGCCGCCGUAA